GACGAACGCUGGCGGCGUGCUUAACACAUGCCAGUCGAACGGAAAGGCCCUGCUUUUGUGGGGUGCUCGAGUGGCGAACGGGUGAGUAACACGUGAGUAACCUGCCCUUGACUUUGGGAUAACUUCAGGAAACUGGGGCUAAUACCGGAUAGGAGCUCCUGCUGCAUGGUGGGGGUUGGAAAGUUUCGGCGGUUGGGGAUGGACUCGCGGCUUAUCAGCUUGUUGGUGGGGUAGUGGCUUACCAAGGCUUUGACGGGUAGCCGGCCUGAGAGGGUGACCGGCCACAUUGGGACUGAGAUACGGCCCAGACCCCUACGGGAGGCAGCAGUGGGGAAUAUUGCACAAUGGGCGGAAGCCUGAUGCAGCAACGCCGCGUGCGGGAUGACGGCCUUCGGGUUGUAAACCGCUUUCGCCUGUGACGAAGCGUGAGUGACGGUAAUGGGUAAAGAAGCACCGGCUAACUACGCG
rnacentral:rRNA from 1 species